GCGUGAAAAUCAGCUCCGUCAACGUCAGCAAAACUUUUUUGAUCUGACGUCAUCGUCGCCGGCCACGUCAUCAUUUGUGACGACACAAGUAGUUGUUCCACGUCUUACACAUCUCGAGGAACGGCUCAUCGAGUUGGGUGUCGAGCACGAAGUUGUGCAGCAUACGCAGAGAUUACAGUCGGAAUUUGAGAAUUAUCAUCAUCUCCAGCAGCAACAUAAUCAUCAGAAUUUCCAACAACAACAACAGGGAAAUCACGAUUUUGUGACCCCGAAAGUGAGUUUUUUCGAUUUUUUACUAUGAAAUUCAGAUUCCCCGCCAAAUUUCACCCUUGGAGCACUUUUUCUGGACUUUUAGCUCAAUUUUUGAAAUUUUCGGGUUACGGUAGCCUCGAAAAUACGCAAACACCGGGGGGGCCUCACGACAAAUUGCACAGCUUUCGCAAAUUUGAAGCUGGUGCUCUGAAAAUUGCGUUUCCCGGGGUAGAAAACGACGGGGGAUUCGAAUUUUUCAUCAAAAACUAUUCAAAUCGAGUUUUUUUAAAUGGAAAUUCACAUUUUUUGAGUUUUUAGAAUUUUUCAACUUGAAAAUAUAAUUUUUGUAAAAAAUAAUGCUCAAAUUCGAGUUCCCCGCCAAAUUUUACCCCGGAAUCCUGUUUACUCGGGCUUCUAGCUCGAAUUUUCAUAAUUCCGGGGUACUGUAGCUCCGGAAGUACGCAAACACCACAGGUCUCACGACAAAAUGCACCGUUUUCGUAUUUUUGGUGUUAGCGGUCUGAAAAUCAGGCUCUUAGAGUGAAAAAUGACGAGAAUAUCGAAAAUCGACUUGAAAAUUCGUUUUGCACAAAUUUUUGGAGUUAAAAAAGCGAAAAAAUCGGAAUUUUCCGUCAAAAUUUGAACAUUUUAAUUUGAUUUUCGUAUUUUGCGUCAUUUUUCACCCCCGGACCCCUAUUUCCAGACCGCUAACACCAAAAAUAUGCAAACUGUGCAUUUUGUCGUUAGCCACUCGGUGUUUGCGUAUUUUUGGCGCUACCGUAACCCGGAAAAUUUAAAUUUUGAGUUAAAGACGUUGAAAAUAGCGUAUAGAGGUGAAAUUUCAUGGGAAAUUUGAAUUUUUACAUGAAAUUUUUGAAAAUUAAUUUCAAACCCGGAUUUUUUAAGCUUUCAAGUUAAUUUUUCCGUGAAAAUAGUUUCGAAAUCGAAUUCCCCAUCAAAUUUCACACCUAAACCCAUUUUCUCAGGCUUCUAGCUCGAUUUUUGAAAAUUUUGGGGUACUGUAGCUCCAAAAAUACGCAAACACCGCGAUCUCUUACGCAAAAAGGCACAGUUUUCUCAAAUUUAAAGCUAGCGGUCUGAAAAUUGAGCUCCCGGGGUGAAAAAUGACGGAGAAUUUGAAAAUGAUAAUGAAAAUUUGAAAAAAUCACUUUUUUCAGGCCCCACAGGACAAACAAAAACGGAAAUAUACAAAGCGAAAAGCUCUUCUCAACACAGCAGUGGCUUCUUCGUCGGAUCAAAACGGCAUGAAAAGUCCCGGUAGUUCGGCGAUGGAAAAUGCUGCCGCUGCGGCCCAGGCUGCUCAGGCCCAGGCGCAGGCAACAAUACCUACACCUACAGUAAACCUACCAGAUGUUGUGGCAAUUGCCGCUGCGGCGGCAACCGCCCAACCGUCGGCCGCCGCCGCCAAACGCCCGGCCAGUGAAACACCGCCAAAUGGGCUGCCAAAAGUCCCAAGACACGAUGAGCAACAGCAACAACAAAAUAAUGCACAUUCUAUUGUGAUGGGCGCUCGAGAGGGAUUUUUGUGCGUUUUUUGAGCAAUUUUAAUCGAAAAAUUUGAAUUCCUCGUUUAAUUUUACCCCCGGGAGCUGUUUUUUAGCUCAAAAAAGCUUAAAUUGAGAACAAUUGGAUUUUCUACCCAAAAAUGCGGGGACAAUGCAAUUUUUAAUGCCAAAAUUGAAUUCCCCGCGUAAUUUUACCCCUAGCAGAAGUUUUUCUGUGGUUCUAGCUUGAUUUUUGAAUUUCCCGGGGUACGAUAGCCCCAAAAGUACGCAAACACCAAGAGGGGCUCACGACAAAAUGCACAGUUUUCCAAAUUUGCAUAUUAGCGGCCUAAAAAAUGGGUCCCUGGCCUAGAAAUUGACGAGGAAUUUGAAUUUCUUAUCAAAAACUUAUAAAACCCGUUGGAUUAAGUUGAAUUUUGCAAAUUUCCUACUUUUCUCUUAGUUUUUACUUUUUUUCAAUGUGAUUUUCGAAUUCCCCGCCAAUUUUCACCCCGGAAUAUUUUUUUCUAGGUUCCUAGCUCAAAAUUUGAAUUUUCCGGGGUACGGUAGACCCAAAAGUACCCAAAAACCAAGGGGGGCUCACGACAAAAUGCACAGUUACCUUGAUUUGGAGGCUAGAGACCUGAAAAUUGUGUUCCCGGGGUGAAAAGUGACGGGGAAUUUGAAAAAUGACUUGAAAUUCAGAUUCGUAAAGUUUUAACGACUGAAAAAAAAAGUCGGAUUUCCAUCUGAAAUUUCAAAUUUUAGAGUCAAUUUUCGAGUUCCUCGUCAUUUUUCACUCCGGCAACCUUUUUUUAGUGGCACUGACAUCAAAAAUACGGAAAAUCUGCAUUUUGUCGUAAGCUCCUCGGUGUUUGCGUAUUUUUGGCACUACCGUACCCCGGGAAAUUUGAAUUUUGAGUUGGAGCGUCGCGGAAAAAGCUUUUAAAGGCAGAAUUCGAUGGGAUAUUCGAUUUUUUACAUGAAACUUUUUGAAAACUAAUCCUACCCCGAAUUUCGAGCUUUCAAGUUGAAUUUCCCGUGAAAAUAGUUUCAAAAUUGAAUUCCCCGUCAAAUUUCACACCGGAUCCUUGGUUUUUAGGCUUCUAGGUCAAAUUAAAAAAAUUUUGGGGUACUGUAGCUCCAAAAAUACGCAAACACCGGCGAUCUCUUACGCAAAAAUGCACAGUUUUCCCAAAUGUUGAGCUAGCAGUCUGAAAAUUGAGCUCCCGGUGUGAAAAAUGACGGGGAAUUUGAAAAUCGAAGUGAAAUUUCACGAAAAUUACAAAUUUUUGAUUUUUUCAGAGCAAUGAACCCAUCUCUGGCGGGCCACGUCUUCCCAGCGAGCUCAGCGUCAACUUCGGGAGCUCCGGGAGCCCACUCAGCAACCACCAGCGGAGGAGCCGGCCUAAUCGGGAUCUCAGCAGCAACUCAGGCUCAACUUCAAGCUCAACAGGCUGCUCAGGCCGCCGCCGCAGCAGCAGCAGCAGCAGCUGCUCAGGCGACCCAAUCUCUGUACAUUAAUACAUCAGUUGCUCCGGGAGCACAAGCAGCUUCUGCUCAAGGUGGCGGCGGUGGUCAAGUGGUGGCUGCUCAACAAUCAAAUCAGGCGGCAACAGCAGAAGCUAUUCGCCUACUUCAAGGCCUUCCACCAUUCCUUACUGCUGGAAGUGGCUCGGCUGGAAUUCCGUACUUUUCGGCCCUUUCCCAGCAGCUCAAUCAGUUGGGAGCAGCGGCUCCGGGAGCUCCUGGAACACUGAAUGGGCUUCAAUUUCCGGCAAAUGCGGCGCUUGGGCCACAACUUGCCGGAGCAGCAUUGCUCGCCGCUGUGCCAGGUGCUCAGCAACAGAUUAAG
rnacentral:sRNA from 1 species